rnacentral:tRNA from 1 species
GGCCGGUUAGCUCAGUUGGUUAGAGCUGCGGUGCUAAUAACGCCAAGGUCGCGGUUCGAUCCCCUCGCGACGGGCCA